rnacentral:rRNA from 1 species
GACAGAGGUGCCAAGCGUUAGGCGGAAUCACUGGGCGUAAAGCGUGCGCAGGCGGUUUGCUAAGACAGGUGUGAAAUCCCCGGGCUUAACCUGGGAACUGCGCUUGUAACUGGCAAGCUGGAGUGUGGCAGAGGGGGGUGGAAUUCCACGUGUAGCAGUGAAAUGCGUAGAGAUGUGGAGGAACACCGAUGGCGAAGGCAGCCCCCUGGGCUAACACUGACGCUCAUGCACGAAAGCGUGGGGAGCAAACAGG